ensembl:lncRNA LINC00265 long intergenic non-protein coding RNA 265
GAAGGAAGACGAGGCGAGGCAAGCGCCAAGCUUCCAUCCGGACUUCAAGGCCAGUGGCUGGGUCUGGUUUUCUCAACACGGCCUCCUAGUCUCCUUCCCGCUUGGGCAUCUGUUUUUCUUAUAUAGACCCUGAAGCCGCCCGUGAUGUUCUGUAAGCAGGUUCCGCUUCAGAAUCAGAGGUACUUAAGAGGGAACCUGGAUGCUAGACCUGCCCUUGCUGCUGGCCUCAGUUUCUUUACCUGUAAAACAGGGAUUUUGGAACUGUUAAAUUAAAUCAAACUUAAAAGAAUUACAACUUAAAGCUGCUGGAACUUUACAUGAUCCCGAGCCUUGAGAGGAAUGUGGCUAUGCAGCCUGAGUCAUGUGGCAUGCAGAUGCAACCUCUGCCUUUUUCCGCUGUAAAUAAUUAAGAAGACCAAGUAGCAUCCAAGUCUCUUGUCCUUCUGCCUGCUGUUGUGGGAUGAUGUGUAGAGGAAGAUAGUCUUCCUCUACACAGCAAGAAGAUCCCUACCAGAUGCAGCCCUCUCAACCUUGGACUUCCUGACAUCCAGAACUAGUCACCUAAGCUGAAGAUUCCCUUGAGAACAAGUACUGUCCUGUGGUUUCAUGGCCUUUCUUCCAUUUGUGGUUCUUGCCAAGCGGAAUUUAAAUGACAUCUUAUCAAGAUGGAUAAACCCUAGUUUCCCAGUGCUGGAAUAUAGAAAAUGGAUGGACAAGUAAAUCCCACUCAGCACCCAUAGCCCAGGCAUGGGGACCUCAACACAUUUGAGCCGCAGAGAUCACCUUUCAUUGUGAAUAGCUCUGAGAUGAUACUUCUGGUUGAAUGUCUUUUUGUCACUUCCGGCUGGAUCUACCAUGAAAGAUUUCUGAAUCCAGGAAGAGAGAUUGACUGGGCAACAUGUUAUUCAGAAACAGGACCUUGCCCUGUCACUCAGGAUGGAGUUCAGUGGUCCAAUCAUGGCUCAUUGUAGCCUCAAACUCCCAGGCUCAAGCAAUCCUACCACGUCAGUCUUCCCAGUAGCUGACAGGGUCUCACUCUGUCGCCCAGGCUGGAGUGCAGUGGCAUGAUCUUGGCUCACUGUAGUGUAGACUUCCCAGCCUCAAGGGAUCCUCCCACCCCAGACUCCCAAGUAGCUGGAAUUACAGGUAUGCACCACCACCACACCUGGCUAAUAUUUUUCUUUUUUUUGGUAGACAUAUAGUCUCACUAUGUUGCGCUGACAGGAGUUCAAGACCAGUCUGGGCAAUAUAGUAAGACCUUGUCUCUACAAAAAAUGAAAAAAUUGGCCAGGCGUGGUGGCUCACGCCUGUAAUUCCAGCACUUUGGGAGGCCGAAGCGGGCAGAUUACCUGAGGUCAGGAGUUCGAGACCAGCCUGGCCAACAUUGCAAAACCCCGGCUCUACUAAAAAUACAAAAAUUAGCUGGGCGUGGUGGCACGCACCUGUAAUCCCAGCUACUUGGAAGGCUGAGGCAGGAGAAUCACUUGAAUCUGGGAGGUGGAGGUUGCAGUGAGCCGGGAUCGCACCAUUACACUACAGCCUGGGCAAGAAGAGUGAAACUCUGUCUCAAAAUAAAAUAAAAUAAAAUAAAAUAAAAUAAAAUAAAAUACAAAA